rnacentral:tRNA from 1 species
GCCGGAUAGUUUAGUCAGUAGAGCGUCAGACUUUUAACCUGAGGGUCCAGGGUUCAAGUCCCUGUUCAGGCA